rnacentral:rRNA from 1 species
UAAGUUGAAAGGGCGCACGGUGGAUGCCUUGACACUAGGAGUCGAUGAAGGACGGGACUAACGCCGAUAUGCUUCGGGGAGCUGUAAGUAAGCUUUGAUCCGAAGAUUUCCGAAUGGGGAAACCCACCAUACGUAAUGGUAUGGUAUCCUUAUCUGAAUACAUAGGGUAAGGAAGACAGACCCAGGGAACUGAAACAUCUAAGUACCUGGAGGAAGAGAAAGCAAAUGCGAUUUCCUGAGUAGCGGCGAGCGAAACGGAACAUAGCCCAAACCAAGAGGCUUGCCUCUUGGGGUUGUAGGACAUUCUAUACGGAGUUACAAAGGAACGAGGUAGACGAAGCGACCUGGAAAGGUCCGUCGUAGAGGGUAACAACCCCGUAGUCGAAACUUCGUUCUCUCUUGAAUGUAUCCUGAGUACGGCGGAACACGUGAAAUUCCGUCGGAAUCUGGGAGGACCAUCUCCCAAGGCUAAAUACUCCCUAGUGAUCGAUAGUGAACCAGUACCGUGAGAGAAAGGUGAAAAGCACCCCGGAAGGGGAGUGAAAGAGAUCCUGAAACCGUGUGCCUACAAAUAGUCAGAGCCCGUUAACGGGUGAUGGCGUGCCUUUUGUAGAAUGAACCGGCGAGUUACGAUCCCGUGCGAGGUUAAGCUGAAGAGGCGGAGCCGCAGCGAAAGCGAGUCUGAAUAGGGCGUUUAGUACGUGGUCGUAGACCCGAAACCAGGUGAUCUACCCAUGUCCAGGGUGAAGUUCAGGUAACACUGAAUGGAGGCCCGAACCCACGCACGUUGAAAAGUGCGGGGAUGAGGUGUGGGUAGCGGAGAAAUUCCAAUCGAACCUGGAGAUAGCUGGUUCUCCCCGAAAUAGCUUUAGGGCUAGCCUUAAGUGUAAGAGUCUUGGAGGUAGAGCACUGAUUGGACUAGGGGUCCUCAUCGGAUUACCGAAUUCAGUCAAACUCCGAAUGCCAAUGACUUAUCCUUAGGAGUCAGACUGCGAGUGAUAAGAUCCGUAGUCAAAAGGGAAACAGCCCAGACCGCCAGCUAAGGUCCCAAAGUGUGUAUUAAGUGGAAAAGGAUGUGGAGUUGCUUAGACAACUAGGAUGUUGGCUUAGAAGCAGCCACCAUUUAAAGAGUGCGUAAUAGCUCACUAGUCGAGUGACUCUGCGCCGAAAAUGUACCGGGGCUAAAUACACCACCGAAGCUGCGGAUUGAUACCAAUGGUAUCAGUGGUAGGGGAGCGUUCUAAGGACAGUGAAGUCAGACCGGAAGGACUGGUGGAGUGCUUAGAAGUGAGAAUGCCGGUAUGAGUAGCGAAAGACGGGUGAGAAUCCCGUCCACCGAAUGCCUAAGGUUUCCUGAGGAAGGCUCGUCCGCUCAGGGUUAGUCAGGACCUAAGCCGAGGCCGACAGGCGUAGGCGAUGGACAACAGGUUGAUAUUCCUGUACCACCUCUUUAUCGUUUGAGCAAUGGAGGGACGCAGAAGGAUAGAAGAAGCGUGCGAUUGGUUGUGCACGUCCAAGCAGUUAGGCUGAUAAGUAGGCAAAUCCGCUUAUCGUGAAGGCUGAGCUGUGAUGGGGAAGCUCCUUAUGGAGCGAAGUCUUUGAUUCCCCGCUGCCAAGAAAAGCUUCUAGCGAGAUAAAAGGUGCCUGUACCGCAAACCGACACAGGUAGGCGAGGAGAGAAUCCUAAGGUGUGCGAGAGAACUCUGGUUAAGGAACUCGGCAAAAUGACCCCGUAACUUCGGGAGAAGGGGUGCUUUCUUAACGGAAAGCCGCAGUGAAUAGGCCCAAGCGACUGUUUAGCAAAAACACAGCUCUCUGCGAAGCCGUAAGGCGAAGUAUAGGGGGUGACACCUGCCCGGUGCUGGAAGGUUAAGGAGAGGGGUUAGCGUAAGCGAAGCUCUGAACUGAAGCCCCAGUAAACGGCGGCCGUAACUAUAACGGUCCUAAGGUAGCGAAAUUCCUUGUCGGGUAAGUUCCGACCCGCACGAAAGGUGUAACGAUUUGGGCACUGUCUCAACCGAGAGACUCGGUGAAAUUAUAGUACCUGUGAAGAUGCAGGUUAACCCGACGACAGGACGGAAAGACCCCGUGGAAGCUUUACUGUAGCCUGAUAUUGAAUUUUGGUACAGUUUGUACAGGAUAGGCGGGAGCCUUUGAAACCGGAGCGCUAGCUUCGGUGGAGGCGCUGGUGGGAUACCGCCCUGACUGUAUUGAAAUUCUAACCUACGGGUCUUAUCGACCCGGGAGACAGUGUCAGGUGGGCAGUUUGACUGGGGCGGUCGCCUCCUAAAGUGUAACGGAGGCGCCCAAAGGUUCCCUCAGAAUGGUUGGAAAUCAUUCGUAGAGUGCAAAGGCAUAAGGGAGCUUGACUGCGAGACCUACAAGUCGAGCAGGGACGAAAGUCGGGCUUAGUGAUCCGGUGGUUCCGCAUGGAAGGGCCAUCGCUCAACGGAUAAAAGCUACCCCGGGGAUAACAGGCUUAUCUCCCCCAAGAGUCCACAUCGACGGGGAGGUUUGGCACCUCGAUGUCGGCUCAUCGCAUCCUGGGGCUGUAGUCGGUCCCAAGGGUUGGGCUGUUCGCCCAUUAAAGCGGUACGCGAGCUGGGUUCAGAACGUCGUGAGACAGUUCGGUCCCUAUCCGUCGUGGGCGUAGGAAAUUUGAGAGGAGCUGUCCUUAGUACGAGAGGACCGGGAUGGACGCACCGCUGGUGUACCAGUUGUUCUGCCAAGGGCAUAGCUGGGUAGCUAUGUGCGGAAGGGAUAAGUGCUGAAAGCAUCUAAGCAUGAAGCCCCCCUCAAGAUGAGAUUUCCCAUAGCGUAAGCUAGUAAGAUCCCUGAAAGAUGAUCAGGUUGAUAGGUUCGAGGUGGAAGCAUGGUGACAUGUGGAGCUGACGAAUACUAAUAGAUCGAGGACUUAACCA